GGCCUACGGGAGGCAGCAGUGGGGAAUAUUGGACAAUGGGCGAAAGCCUGAUCCAGCCAUGCCGCGUGUGUGAAGAAGGUCUUCGGUAUUGUAAAGCACUUUAAGUUGGGAGGAAGGCGCAGUAAAUUAAUACUUUCGCUGUUUUGACGUUACGCACGAAAUGGNGUCNCCGGGCUAANAAANUNGU
rnacentral:rRNA from 1 species